CUGCCGGAUUCGCCUAGAUUCGCCCGGAGGACGAGAGCAGCAUCCAUGGAUCCCGCGCCUGCCGACGCCAUCGAAGGCCGCUUGUUUGUCGUCCGCUCCGGCGGAAACCCUCGAACCUGCAAUCAUUGGCGCCCGAGCAAAUGGAGGCCUCCUUGAUUUUUCUCCACAGCGCCCAGGCUACGGGGAUGUAUCAGCCGCCAAGAAUUCCCGGUCUUGCCCUCGUCGUUGACUCGUUUACUCGGUUGCCCCUGCUCACGCUGAUCUGCAACACGAGCUGAGAUCGAGAGGAGUAGGGGGCGCUGCUGCUUGGCUCCUCAUCCAUCGAUGGGACAUCGGCAUGUGGUGGUGUGUGGGUGAAGGGGGACAAGGAGAGGCCACAACUGCUGAUUGGUGGCGUGAAGGGGGAGCUGGUGGCCAUGGAAAUUGUGGAGUACCUGCUGGUGACCUUGAUUUGUGAGGAGUGGUCCUUUUUUACAAGCAGAUUUUGUCUGUCACAACACUGGUACACAUAUGAAACCUUCACGCACUCCUAAAAAUGUUUCGAGGGCUAGCCAGUCUAGACUAAUACAGUAAGACAGAGGCUUAAGUAUCAGCUGAAAGACAGUGGAGAUGAAACUUCAUUGCUUGAAGAGUUGGGUGUUAUGGAAGAUAACCCAAUUGCAUCUUAGCUCUCAGAAAUUCAGGAAGAUCGACCGAUGAGUACGAGGAAGAUCCAACUGAAGAUGAUGACAAUGCCUAGCCAGGAUGUAACUAUUACUUUCCGUUUGUUCUUAAACUCCAACUUGUGGUGGAUCUUUGUUUUGCCUUGCUUUUCCUGCCCCCUUUUGAUUGUUUAAGUUCUCUGUAACUUCUGAUCUAUCAUCUGUUCACACCAUGGAGUUCUAGUUCGUCUGA